rnacentral:tRNA from 1 species
GAGGGUAUAGCUCAAGUGGUAGAGCGCACGCUUAAUAUGCAUGAGGUCCUGGGUUCAAUCCCUACUACCUCCU